rnacentral:tRNA from 1 species
GCCUUCGUGGUGUAAUGGUAGCACACUCGGCGCAUAUUCGAGAGGUCCAGGUUCGAGUCCCGGCGAGGGCA